rnacentral:tRNA from 1 species
GCUGUUUUAGCUCAGUUGGCAGAGCGCCGGUCUCCAAAACCGGGUGCCGCAGGUUCGAGCCCUGCAAACGGUGCCA